GGUUCCUGUGGUGUUCAGGUCCAGAGGAGAGACAUUUACCUCUGAUCUAUCAAACCCAUCAUCUCAGGCCUUUCAAACAAGAGCAUUACUGAUUAUAACUCAGCUUGAACCUUUCUAUCGAUCGGCUUUCACCUCUUUCAACAGUUUGACUGUAACAGAAUUCAGCUCUGGAUCCAUCAUCAAUACUGUAAAUGUAGCAUUCAGCUCCCC